rnacentral:misc_RNA from 1 species
GGGGAAAUUGCGGAAGCGAUCACUGACAAUGCAAGGGAUAAUUUUUCCAAGACUGUGGGGCUAUGCAUGGGAUACGUUCAAGCCUGGGAUGUACCCCAAAGCUCACCUCCUCAACAAGGGAUGAGUUUCUCCCAAGACCAUCAACUACUUGUAACUGGACAAGCUUAUGUGGUGCCUUUUUUGUUGAAAUUGGAGGAUAUCUAUGAGCCAAUUAAAAAAGCCAUCAAUAUCACUCAGAAUAUAAUAUAUAAUUUAGAUAAAAUUGCAGGAGAUGAUUUUAUCAUCAAUCAGAAUAUGAUAUAUAAUUUAGAUGAAAUUGAGGGAGAUGAUUUUAUCUUGUUUACCUCUUUGAUUUCUCAGCAUAUCCUGGCUUUUCAAGAAAGAUUAAAAAAUUUGCAUGCUUCAAUGCAGGAUUUCCUAAUGCAUAUUGUGGCCAAUGACAUUCCUCAACCUAGAAGAAAAAAAGGGGAGCAAUAAAUUUUAUAGGAUCUUUUGCAAACACAUUAUUUGGGACUGCUACACAAGAUCAAGUUGAUAUUAUUCAUAAAAGAUUACAAUCGUUAGACUCCUUCACAGAAGAGGAAAGAAAACUCCUCAAUGUUCAUUCCCAUGUUAUCAAUGUCACUCUCAAUGAACUAACAAAUGUUCAUCAAACAUUGGAAAAACUAGAAACUGCUACCCGUGUUACUAAGACCCUUAUGACUAAGAUGGAAAAACAUAUAGAAAAUAA